rnacentral:rRNA from 1 species
AUUGAACGCUGGCGGCAGGCCUAACACAUGCAAGUCGAACGGUAACAGGAAGAAGCUUGCUUCUUUGCUGACGAGUGGCGGACGGGUGAGUAAUGUCUGGGAAACUGCCUGAUGGAGGGGGAUAACUACUGGAAACGGUAGCUAAUACCGCAUAACGUCGCAAGACCAAAGAGGGGGACCUUCGGGCCUCUUGCCAUCGGAUGUGCCCAGAUGGGAUUAGCUAGUAGGUGGGGUAACGGCUCACCUAGGCGACGAUCCCUAGCUGGUCUGAGAGGAUGACCAGCCACACUGGAACUGAGACACGGUCCAGACUCCUACGGGAGGCAGCAGUGGGGAAUAUUGCACAAUGGGCGCAAGCCUGAUGCAGCCAUGCCGCGUGUAUGAAGAAGGCCUUCGGGUUGUAAAGUACUUUCAGCGGGGAGGAAGGGAGUAAAGUUAAUACCUUUGCUCAUUGGCGUUACCCGCAGAAGAAGCACCGGCUAACUCCGUG